rnacentral:rRNA from 1 species
AGAGUUUGAUCCUGGCUCAGAAUCAACGCUGGCGGCGUGCCUAACACAUGCAAGUCGAGCGGUAACAGGUGUAGCAAUACAUGCUGACGAGCGGCGAACGGGUGAGUAAUGUUUCGGAAUCUACCCAAUGGUGGGGAAUAACCAGCCGAAAGGUUGGCUAAUACCGCAUAAGCCUACGGGAGAAAGCGGGGGACCGUAAG